rnacentral:snRNA from 1 species
AUGUGGAGGGGGGCCGCCUGCCAUUGUGGGUAGUGGCAUACCCAUUGGGUGAAUAUUUGUUGGAUCGAAUUGCAUCUGCAUAUUUGGAGGUGGUGGGAGGUGGGGGGGGUUCAUAUUCAUGUUAGGGAUUUGUAUUGGGCCUGGAGCUACCAUUGG